rnacentral:rRNA from 1 species
UUUUGGACAAUGGGCGCAAGCCUGAUCCAGCCAUUCCGCGUGAGUGAAGAAGGCCUUCGGGUUGUAAAGCUCUUUCGCAAGGGAAGAAAACUUACUUUCUAAUAAAGAGUGAGGUUGACGGUACCUUGAUAAGAAGCACCGGCUAACUACGUGCCAGCAGCCGCGGUAAUACGUAGGGUGCGAGCGUUAAUCGGAAUUACUGGGCGUAUAGCGUGCGCAGGCGGCUUUGUAAGUCAGAUGUGAAAUCCCCGAGCUCAACUUGGGAACUGCGUUUGAAACUACAAGGCUAGAAUAUGUCAGAGGGGGGUAGAAUUCCACGUGUAGCAGUGAAAUGCGUAGAGAUGUGGAGGAAUACCAAUGGCGAAGGCAGCCCCCUGGGAGUUAUAUUGACGCUCAUGCACGAA